UCGGAGACGGUGCUCGUGCGGGCGGUGAUGCGACACGCGUAUCCGAAAGACUCUCGGCAACGGAUAUCUCGGCUCUUGCAUCGAUGAAGAACGUAGCGAAAUGCGAUACUUGGUGUGAAUUGCAGAAUCCCGUGAACCAUCGAGUCUUUGAACGCAAGUUGCGCCCGAAGCCAUUAGGCUGAGGGCACGCCUGCCUGGGUGUCGCCCAUCGUUGCCCCAUUGCUUUGGCCUCGUGAUAGGCACCGAGAGCUGGGCGAAUGCUGGCUUCCCGCGAGCAACGCCUCACGGUUGGUUGAAAACUGAGUCCGUGGUGGAGGGCGGCGCCGUGACGGAUGGUGGUUGUU
rnacentral:rRNA from 2 species